GUGAAAAACAGUUUGAAGUUUUAAGAUUAAUUUUUUUGGAUAACAUAUGGAUUUGAUAAUGCGAGUUUAAACUAAUCAAGUUUUAUCCAGGUUUGGUGUUCUUGACAGAACAUCUUGUUGAGAACAUAAAAAAACUCAAAAAAUAUUGCCGACAUUUUUCUCGGCACUGCGCGAUAACUAGAACUCCAGUGAAUAAAUUUCUCUAAUCCUGGCCUAAAUGAAUUAAAAGAAAACAAACAUUACGACUCCACGUGUGAAAAACACAGGGCUGCUCUUGCAUAUAUUAUAGUUCCGCUCAUACAUUGGUUUUCCUUCAGACAACAGUAUGAAACACGCACAGAAUAAGACAGCAGCAAGACACAUUCCUGCCUUUUCUGGAGUCUCGGAGCAAAUAUACGAGUUUCCUGAAGAAUACGGUCUUACUCAAUGUGGAAACUCACUCAGAGUUGCUCAAAUUGAAGAAGUCAGGAUGCAAUCAGGUCUUGAUGUCGUGAAAGAUAUUUACUGACCAUUGAAGAAAGAACAUCACUAGCUACAAGCGUAUUUAAAAGAUCCUCUUGAUCUUGAAGCGAAGGAAUUUAGCGAAGCUUACAAAUACAUUAUAGAAAAACUACGGUGCUGAAAUGUUUGUAUGUGUGUUGUUAUAUGUACAAUACAUUAACCGACACGUUAUGUAGACCAUUCUUUUGUACAGACCCUUAAUCCAAACCACGCCACUCUUGAAAUAGCAUCUGAGUAAGGUUAUGCUAAUGACAAUAAAGCAACAAGAUGUCUAACACUACAUGUCUUUAUGACAAUAUAGAAACCAGGUUUUCAAAUUUUUAUCCAAAGUGGAGUAAAUUAAAAUAGAAAAGCAAAGUAAAAGUAAAUUAAAUUGAAAGUAUGUAUAAAGUAAAAGUGAAU